CCUACGGGAGGCAGCAGUGAGGAAUAUUGGUCAAUGGUCGGGAGACUGAACCAGCCAAGCCGCGUGAGGGAUGAAGGUACAGAGUAUCGUAAACCUCUUUUGUCAGGGAACAAAGGCGGGGACGUGUCCCCGGAUGAGUGUACCUGAAGAAAAAGCAUCGGCUAACUCCGUGCCAGCAGCCGCGGUAAUACGGAGGAUGCGAGCGUUAUCCGGAUUUAUUGGGUUUAAAGGGAGCGUAGACGGCGCUGCAAGUCCGGAGUGAAAGCCCAUGGCUUAACCAUGGUACUGCUCUGGAAACUGUGGAGCUGGAGGGCGGGAGGGGCAGGCGGAAUUCCUAGUGUAGCGGUGAAAUGCGUGUAUAUUAGGAGGAACACCGGCGGGGAAGGCGGCCUGCUGGACCGUAACUGACGUGGAGGCUCGAAAGCGUGGGGAGCAAACAGGAUUAGAUACCCGUGUAGUC
rnacentral:rRNA from 1 species